rnacentral:rRNA from 1 species
GACGAACGCUGGCGGCGUGCUUAACACAUGCAAGUCGAACGAUGAAGCCGGAGCUUGCUCUGGUGAAUUAGUGGCGAACGGGUGAGUAACACGUGAGUAACCUGCCCUUGACUCUGGGAUAACUGCGGGAAACUGUAGCUAAUACCGGAUACGACCCUCGGAGGCAUCUCCUGGGGGUGGAAAGAAUUUCGGUCAAGGAUGGACUCGCGGCCUAUCAGCUAGUUGGUGAGGUAAAGGCUCACCAAGGCGACGACGGGUAGCCGGCCUGAGAGGGUGACCGGCCACACUGGGACUGAGACACGGCCCAGACUCCUACGGGAGGCAGCAGUGGGGAAUAUUGCACAAUGGGCGCAAGCCUGAUGCAGCAACGCCGCGUGAGGGAUGACGGCCCUCGGGUUGUAAACCUCUUUUAGCAGGGAAGAAGCGAAAGUGACGGUACCUGCAGAAAAAGCACCGGCUAACUACGUGGCAGCCGCCGCGGUAA